GGGGGUCUAGCUCAGUGGUAGAGCGUCCGCUUUGCAUUCACUUAAACAUGUGAUGGUGCGCGUGCGGAAGGUCAGGUGUUCAAUCCAUCUGUCCUCCA